UGAGGAAUAUUGGUCAAUGGGCGUAAGCCUGAACCAGCCAAGUCGCGUGAGGGAUGAAGGUUCUAUGGAUCGUAAACCUCUUUUAUGAGGGAAUAAAGUGCGGGACGUGUCCCGUUUUGUAUGUACCUUAUGAAUAAGGAUCGGCUAACUCCGUGCCAGCAGCCGCGGUAAUACGGAGGAUCCGAGCGUUAUCCGGAUUUAUUGGGUUUAAAGGGUGCGUAGGCGGCCUUUUAAGUCAGCGGUGAAAGUCUGUGGCUCAACCAUAGAAUUGCCGUUGAAACUGGGAGGCUUGAGUAUGUUUGAGGCAGGCGGAAUGCGUGGUGUAGCGGUGAAAUGCUUAGAUAUCACGCAGAACCCCGAUUGCGAAGGCAGCCUGCCAAGCCAUGACUGACGCUGAUGCACGAAAGCGUGGGGAUCAAACAGG
rnacentral:rRNA from 1 species